AACGAACGCUGGCGGCAUGCCUAAUACAUGCAAGUCGAACGAGACCUUCGGGUCUAGUGGCGCACGGGUGCGUAACGCGUGGGAAUCUGCCCUUGGGUUCGGAAUAACAGUUAGAAAUGACUGCUAAUACCGGAUGAUGACGUAAGUCCAAAGAUUUAUCGCCCAAGGAUGAGCCCGCGUAGGAUUAGCUUGUUGGUGAGGUAAAGGCUCACCAAGGCUACGAUCCUUAGCUGGUCUGAGAGGAUGAUCAGCCACACUGGGACUGAGACACGGCCCAGACUCCUACGGGAGGCAGCAGUAGGGAAUAUUGGACAAUGGGGGAAACCCUGAUCCAGCAAUGCCGCGUGAGCGAUGAAGGCCUUAGGGUUGU
rnacentral:rRNA from 1 species